rnacentral:lncRNA from 1 species
UCAAUUUUUGUGACGCCCCCAAAAUAGGUAUACAACACUCAUUUUGAGUCGUCAAAAUACAUGGUAUAGAAAGCAAACUACAACUUUGACGAUACAGAUGUCGUGUAGAAUACGACAAUACAACUGUGAGUUUGAAUACAAAUAUUGUCUUCUAGACAAUAUACACACCCAAAUAAGUCCUCAUUAAUUAUUCAUACACUAUUUUACAGAAAUAGUGAGGACAGCUAAAACAUCUUCCUAGAACCAUCACUCCAUACCCCGACUCGAUCCUGCUAUGUUCUCACCUCCUGAGAAGAAAAAUGGAACAAAAAGGAAAAGGGUGAGCUCAACUAGCCCAGUAAAGAAUAUUAUGACUAAGAUAAUAUACAACAAAUUAUCGUUAGUCUUCAACAGGGAAAAAUCUAAUAGAAUACAAUAGACAACAAGUUUUAGAUCAACAAAUGCAGCGGAAACAGCAAUCCAUUAGAAGAGUCACGUAGAGAAAGAAUUCUACUGUCUUCUAAGGUUUAAAAGUCCAUCAUCAAUAGUUUAUCCCUGUAAUAACAAUCAAUAUACAUCUUUAAUCAUCUUUGCACUACAGGCCAAAGAUAUUCAUUUGUAUCACCAGUUGGUCAUGUUCAUCUCAACACCUGUUCAUCUUUGCACUACAGGCCAAAGAUAUUCAUCAGUUAAUCGUUCAUCUUUGCACUACAGGCCAAAGAUAUUCAUUUAUAUCACCAUUUAGGACUGAGGAUGAUGAAAAACAUUUUUAAAGAAACGAAUCCAGUGAAACAAAAUGACAAGGAUUAAGGAUUAAGGAUUCGUACUUUGUUUUACCCAUGUCCAAAAAUACUUCGAAAAUAAUCAUAUUGGUGUAAAAUUCAAGAAUGAUCAAAACAUGGAUACAAUCAAAGCUAGUAUCCAGAAUAGAUAUUUUGGACAAAAAGAAAAAUUUUUAUUUUUCGGUGAAUAGUGCCGUAUUCGUGAAUAGUGUCGUAUACGUGAAUAGUGCCGUAUACGUGAAUAGUAACCCCGACACAACAAGUUCCAAAUUUGAUAAAAAAGUUCACCAAUACUUCGGCAUAAUGAUAUUGAAGAAAAAAUAUCAUUUAAGAAGAAAAUAAUACCCCUUACCUCAAAAUAACCGUACUUCUGACUGAAUUUCGGUAUAGUGCUGACAGAAACCCGCACCGUAUAGCAACACUCAAAGUAUACUCACAAGAAU